GGGAGAGUAGCGAAGAGGAUAAACGCAGCUGACUGUAAAUCAGCCCCCUUCGGGUUCGGCGGUUCGAAUCCGUCCUUUCCCACCA
rnacentral:tRNA from 1 species